rnacentral:rRNA from 1 species
CCUACGGGUGGCUGCAGUGGGGAAUAUUGCACAAUGGGCGCAAACCUGAUGCAGCCAUGCCGCGUGUGUGAAGAAGGCCUUCGGGUUGUAAAGCACUUUCAGCGGGGAGGAAGGCGGUGAGGUUAAUAACCUUGUCGAUUGACGUUACCCGCAGAAGAAGCACCGGCUAACUCCGUGCCAGCAGCCGCGGUAAUACGGAGGGUGCAAGCGUUAAUCGGAAUUACUGGGCGUAAAGCGCACGCAGGCGGUCUGUCAAGUCGGAUGUGAAAUCCCCGGGCUCAACCUGGGAACUGCAUUCGAAACUGGCAGGCUAGAGUCUUGUAGAGGGGGGUAGAAUUCCAGGUGUAGCGGUGAAAUGCGUAGAGAUCUGGAGGAAUACCGGUGGCGAAGGCGGCCCCCUGGACAAAGACUGACGCUCAGGUGCGAAAGCGUGGGGAGCAAACAGGAUUAGAUACCCUAGUAGUC